rnacentral:lncRNA from 1 species
UGGGGGAGAGAGCAAGAGACUUUCACUUCUCUAUGUCCCCAGCCUCUGACUCCCGGGCCAAGUUGUGGUCUCCACACUUGCUGUACACCCAUGGGGACCACAGCAUUCAAGUAAAGAAUAAGGACAUCCAUUUGUAUUUACUUUUCUCCUACAAGAAAGAAGAUGCUAUGCCCAAUGGUUUCCAUAAAAGGUAUUGACUGAUUUCCAAAGAUAUUAUAAACUCCUACGUGCCAAGGACUGGAAAUACAACAAUGGCUUCAAGUUCAUUACCAUCUCCAAGCUUG